rnacentral:lncRNA from 1 species
AGGAGUUGCUGAGAAGGAGCUGUGGUUCUGACCUUCAGGGGAAUUCCCACGUCUGUAUGGUGGCUCGUGAAGAGCAUGGUUCCUUUUCUCAGCCCUCUGGAGCGGCGAGGAUGCUGAGGACUGAAGUCUGUGGGGCUUGAUGCAUGUGGUCACUGGGAGGCUGCCACAGGGCCAUUUUCAUGACCAGAGGGGUCUGUUCAACACCCUGUGGGUCCCAGCACCUAUCUCAGGAAGCAGGGUGCAUCUGUCCAUCACUGAGUCUCAGGGUGGCUGGGUGAGCGCUCAUCAGUCCCAGACAGCAGGUCGGCACAAAACGACACUGCCCACAAAACCACAGGAAGAAGAGAAACUCCGACUGUCAUUCAGUACACAGAAGACACUGUACUGGACCCGGACAUUAGGUAGACACCCACGCCUGACUUUCAGGAGAAAAGAGAACAUAACAAACGGAUAUUCUUAGUAGAUGGUUUAUUAGAAAAGAGAACAUCUUCCAGCAUGUGUCCUGGGGUGAUGGGUGUGGGAAGCACUCAGUCCAUAGUCCUGGUCCCUGGCUUCCCCAAGCCCAGCACCGUGAAUGUACAGUGGAAAGCAGAGGGUGCAGCGUCUCAGAAAGAUGCUUCCACUCACAAGGAUUGGAGCUCACAAGUGAGCUCGAUAACCUGCAAACCAGAGAAACCUGAGACACUGCUCCUUGGCCGUUUUAUCAACUGAGACUUUAUUGUGAU